rnacentral:lncRNA from 1 species
UUUUUUUUUUUUUNUUUGGUCUUUUGUCCUUUUCAGGGCCGCACCCAAGGCAUAUGGAGGUUGCCAGGCUAGGAGUCUAAUUGGAGCUAUAGCCACCGGCCUACGCCAGAGCCACAGCAACGUCAGAUCUGAGCCACGUCUGCAACCUACAUUGGUAGCUCAUGCCAAUGCUGGAUCUUUAACCCACUGAGUGAGGCCAGGGAUCAAACCCGUAACCUCAUGGUUCCUAGUCGGAUUUGUUUCUGCUGCGCCACAGUGGGAACUCCUAUUUCUGUUUCAUAGAUAGGUUCAUCUGUGCCAUAUUUCAGAUUCCAAUAGAAGUGAUAUUAUAUGGAAUUGGUCUUUUUCUUUCUCAUUGACUUCACUCUUUCAUAUUGUUGGUUUUAAGUGUUCUUGGUAUAUUUUGGAUAACAGUUCUUUAUCAGAUGUAUCUUUUGCAAAUAUAUCAUCUCAGUCUGUAGCUUAUCUUUUUCUUUUUUCUUUUUCUUUUUUUUGGCUGAGCCUACAGCAUGUGGAAGUUCCUAGGCCAGGGAUCAAAGCCAUGCCAAGGCAGUGACCCAAGCCACUGUGACAAAGUCAGAUCUUUAACCCACUGCAUCAUAAGAGAACUCCUUAUCUAGGAACCAUGAGGAUGUGGGUUCGAUCCCUGGCCUCCCUCAGUGGGUUAAGGAUCCAGCGUUGCCGUGACCUGUGGUGUAGGUUGCAAACUUGGCUCAGAUCCCAAUUGCUGUGGCUGUGGCGCAGGCCGGUGGCUACAGCUCUGAUUGGACCCCUAGCCUGAGAACCUCCAAAUGCCUUGGGUGAGGCCCUACAAAGACAAAAAGUAAAAAAUAAAUAAAAUAAAAUAAAAAAGAGGGAUCAGCAAUGAGAUCCUGCCAUAUAGCACAGGGAACUAUAUCUAAUCACUUGUGAUAGAUCAUGAUGGAAGGUAAUGUGGAAAAAAGAAUGUAUAUACAUGUAUAACUGGGUCACUCUGCUGUACAGCAGAAAUUGACAGAACACUGUACAUCAACUAUUAAAAAAAAAAGAAGUAAAAAGAGGAGUUCCCAUUGUGGCUCUGUGGUAAUGACUAGUAUCCAUGAGGACUCAGGUUCCAUCCUAGGAACCUCCACAUGCCACAGGUGUGGCCCUGAAAAGACCAAACAACAGCCAAAAAAAGGAGGAAAAAAAAGGAAAAAGAAGCAGGUAACAUUAACUUUCAUAACAUUUUAAUUUUAUACAUAUAAAAUAUUAUUUCAUCAGGUGACCAAUAUAAACAAAUUAUUAGUGUGAUAUUUUACAUCCUUUACAAAAGUUUUUUACAUAUUUUACAUACACAUACUAUAUAUUUUUGAGACCCCGUGUGUAUGUUGCCUUCAGAAGCACAUCUCAGUUCAGACCAACCACAUUUCAAGUGCUCAGUGGAAACUUGUGGCUGCGUGUUGGACAACACAGAGGCAGAGCUUUCUGAGCAAAAGAACUGAACAAAUUCUUGAGUUUGAGGCACCCUUAGGAAGCAAGUGUGACCAGAAGGAAGUAAAAGAGGGUAGGACUGAUAAUAAGUGAAGUCAAAGAGAGAGCCAGGGCCUAGUGUUUUGGAUUUAAUUUGGCUUUUAUUCUAAACAUGAUGGAAAACUAUUGGACACUUUUAAGGCAAGAAAUGAUUUGCUCUAAUUUUUAAAAGAUGCUUUGGGGAGGUCCUGUCAUGGCUCAGUGGUUAACGAAUCCGACUAGGAAACAUGAGGUUGUGGGUUCAAUCCCUGGCCUUGCUCAGUGGGUUAAGGAUCCGGUGUUGCCGUGAGCUGUGGUGUAGGUCCCAGACGUGGCUUGGAUUCUGCGUUGCUGUGGCUGUGGUGUAGUCUGGCAGCUAUAGCUCUGAUUAGACCCCUAGCCUGGGAACCUCCAUACGCCACAGGAGCGGCCCCCAAAAAGGCAAAAAGACAAAAAAAAUAAAAGAUACUUUGGAGAGUCCUGUCAUGGCUCAGCAGGUUAAGGACCCCGUGUCGUCUCCAUGAGGAUGCAGGUUCCAUCCCUGACCUCGCUCAGUGGGUUAAGCAUCUGGUGUUGCCACAAGCUGCCAUGUAGGUCACAGAUGAGGCUUGGAUCUUGUAUGGCUGUGGCUGUGGUGUAGGCCAUCAGCUGCAGCUCCGAUUCAACCCUGUAGCUUCCAUAUGCUGCAGGUACGGCCAUUAAAAAAACAAAACAAACAAACCCUUUUGGCUGCUGCGUUGGAAACAGUCUGCAUGGAGGCCAGAGAGCAGCAGAAAGGUCCAGAUAGAAGCUAUGACGUUAGCAUGGGUGAGAGUUACAGGCAACUUGGACUUGAGUGGUCAUGGGUCAGGUGCUGAAAAGCAUUGGAAUUCCCAGUCGAUAUUCCCAGGCAGAGCCCGCGGGAGUUGCUGAUGGACUGGAUGUGACGUAUGAGAAAGAGGAAAGUCAGCCAUGACUCCAAGAGUCUUGUCCUGAGCAAAUGAUGUGGAGCCGGGGUUGGGGUAGGGCAUGGAAGUAGGUUUGGAGGAAAACGAGAGUUGAGUUUAAGCCUAGACCAAUCAACAUUGGGUGUGUCCUCUAAAAUCUAGAACGUGUGUGUCAGCAAAGGCGAAGGGGGUGUGGAAAAAGUACAGGAAGUGUUCAAACAAUGGAGAUUCCCAAAGGCAAGAGUAUGUGUUGGGGCAGGGGCCAGGCUGUGGAAAAAUAGGAGAUAAAACACAUCACAAUAGAUUAUAGAGGGCUUUGAAUGCCAAAUUGAGGAAUUUGUAAUUUACUGGAUAGGCAUCGGAGAGCUAUUGGAUAUUUUUGAGUAAUAACUUACAUGAUCAGAAUCUAACUUUACACUGACAAUUCUGUAUUUAAUAACAUGAAAAAAUGCCCGAGAUAAUUUUCACCAAAUAAUUUUAGAUAUAGAAUGAUAAGAACUUUUUUUUUAAUCUCAGGUAUAAAAAAUAAAAAGGCUCAUUUAUUAAAAAGAAAGAACCUGGAAGGGACAUUAUCAAAAUGUUUAAUAGAGAUGGUUUCUGUGGUUGGUAAGACUAUAAAUAGUUUCUUUCUUCUUCUUCUUUCAAUUUCUCUAUAUUUUCUAAUUGUCUUUAACUGAGCAUAACUGAUUUUUAUCGUGAGAAUAAGUUUAAACUAACAACUUGAAUGUGUCUGGGGUUGGAGGAGUUCUUUGGGUGGAGAGAACGGAGGCAGGGAUAUGGGUUAGGUUUAUUGCAGUAGACCAACAGAAAGGGAGGGAGAGGAGGAACCAGGGCAGGGGUCAUGGGAGGAGGAGGGAGGAGGAAAAUAUAUUUUUUGCCUUUGAAUUGGUUACAUAAGGAAGUCUUACCAUGAGCAGGAGUGGUGGUUAAGAGGAUGGACCCUGGAGCCAGGCUGCUGGGGUUUGAAUCUGAACUUGGUCAAUUUCUUGGGCACAUUACUCUGUGUUUUGUUUUGUUUUUACAGUCUGUGAGUAGGAAUAAUAAUAUACCUACAGUAUAAAGUUGUCGUAGGAAGUAAUUAAUUGCAAAUGUAUUAGCCCCUUAGAGCAGCGCUCAGCUCGUGGCAGAUACUUAGUAUAUUAGCUUUAUUCUUGUUACUCCCAGGGACCUGGCCUCAGUGGAAUUGAUGCUGACGAUGGAAAUAGAGUAAGUAUUGGAGUGGAGUAGAGCGACAAAGGCUAUUGAAGCAUUAUUCCUGACAGUUUGAUUUUUUAUAAGAAUAUAUUUGUGGGGGUUUCCUCUGUGGUGGGAAUCCAACGGCAGUGGCUCAGGUGGCUAUGGAAAUGUGGGUUCAAUCCCCUCCCAGCACGGUGGGUUAAAGGAUCGGGCAUUGAUGUAGCUGCCGGUUGGGUCACAGCUGUGGCUCAGAUUCACUCCCUGGCCCAGGCACGUUCAUAUGCCGCAGGUCCAACCAUAAAAAUAUAUAUAUACCUAUAUACAUUUUUACAUUAUACAGUUUUUUAAAUCUUAGGAAAGUUUUUUUGAAACUAGAGUGGGCUCUCUCAGAAAUUGUGAAUUCCCAUCAUUGAAGAAGUUCCCACAAAUGCUGCCUAGAUUAAUUUGGGGCUGGUACAGGACUGUGAUUGCAAACUAGUUUUCAUCAGAGGAGGUACUAGCUUCUUUAUAUAACUAAAUUCAUUCCAUUAAAGGUACUGUCCUUUAUUCUGAGCCCUCUCUGAAGGUUUGAUGUUCAGGUAUUCUUUAUUUUAUGAAAGAUGAUAUAUAUAUAGACUAGGUUUUUUCCCAGAUAACCUUGCUUGACAAAGGUCUUACUUUUUGGCCUCCAAAAUUUUGGGGGAAAUUUUAUUGGUCUUUGAAAUGUAAAUUUCUGGGAACUAGAGUUGUGGGGAAAAUGAAUAAUUUGGUUAGGCUCCCCUUCUGACCCUGAGGGCUGUCAUUUCAGGGCCCAGGCUGGACCCUCUCAUCCCAGUGAGUCAUUCUGCAAAUGUGAACUUUGAGAUGGGGAAUUGGGUAAAGGUGUGAUUGGAUCCACACAGCUCUGCCACUACAACUGUAGGACAGCUCUUCAAAUAAACCCUCCUGGCAGAGAGUCAAACAGCUGUCUCGGGGCCCCUGAGCAAAAGCAUUGAAUUUGUAAGUGGGCAUGAAAGGCUCCUGGGGGCAGGCUCUGCGAGCCCCGUAGGCCCAGGAGGGGUUGUCCAGGUCAGACCAACGAUGGCUUCCACUCAGGGAGCUGAGAGUCUAGUAUCUUUCACAUACGAAAAGACAGUUCCGUUUUCACAACUUCUCAGAGCCUCAAUUUCCUCAUAGAUAACAUGGGAAUGGGAGUAAUAAUAAUACCAUCUAAUAGCUCCGGAGAUGUACUGCUCCCUGCUUCCCUCACCUCUGUCCAGAGCUGGAAGGAAGAAUCAGAGUCUGAACAGAAUGGAUGGAGCGGAGGUUUUUACCUUAAAGAGACAGAAUGGCUUCCAGCCCCGCAAGGCUUAUUGUCAUUGGACCAGAACACUAAGAUAUCUGCCUACUUUUUGAGAAAGGUCCAUGAGCUCUGGGUACUU